UACGUAGGUCCCGAGCGUUGUCCGGAUUUAUUGGGCGUAAAGCGAGCGCAGGUGGUUUAUUAAGUCUGGUGUAAAAGGCAGUGGCUCAACCAUUGUAUGCAUUGGAAACUGGUAGACUUGAGUGCAGGAGAGGAGAGUGGAAUUCCAUGUGUAGCGGUGAAAUGCGUAGAUAUAUGGAGGAGCAUCAGUGGCGAAGGCGGCCACCUGGACCGGUAUUGACGCUGAGGCGCGAAAGCGUGGGGAGCAAACAGG
rnacentral:rRNA from 1 species